AUGCAUCAUUUUUCAUUGAUCAUUCGGUACUGCACGAGGUCUUCGCCGCCUGCGCCGAACGUUUGGAUCGAGCGAUCGCUGGAUGGGUCUCCAGUUCUUCUCCACUACAUGGUUAAUGGAAUCACAAGAUUAUUUCUUUGCCAAAGAAAGGGUGCCAAUUUAUAUGGGCCAGACAACAGGAACCUCUCACCGGUGGCGUCUGGCCAGCAACCACUUCUCUCAUUGCUUAAUGCAUGUAGAUUCGAUUUGGAGAACCAAGAGCUUUGUUCCACGCAUGAAGGCCAUAUUUGUAGCAAUACAUUUACGUACACUUGA
rnacentral:rRNA from 1 species